AACGAACGCUGGCGGCAGGCCUAACACAUGCAAGUCGAGCGGACCUUUCGGGGUCAGCGGCGGACGGGUGAGUAACGCGUGGGAAUAUGCCCUUCUCUACGGAAUAGUCCUGGGAAACUGGGGGUAAUACCGUAUACGCCCUUUGGGGGAAAGAUUUAUCGGGGAAGGAUUAGCCCGCGUUGGAUUAGGUAGUUGGUGUGGUAAUGGCCUACCAAGCCGACGAUCCAUAGCUGGGUUGAGAGGAUGAUCAGCCACACUGAGACUGAGACACGGCCCAGACUCCUACGGGAGGCAGCAGUGGGGAAUGUUAGACAAUGGCGGGAACCCUGAUCGAGCCAUGCCGCGUGAGUGAUGAAGGCCUUAGGGUUGUAAAGCUCUUUCAGCUAGGAAGAUAAUGACGGUACCAGCAGAAGAAGCCACGGCUAACUCCGUG
rnacentral:rRNA from 1 species